rnacentral:lncRNA from 1 species
UUCCUUAACCUGAACCAGGCAGUAAUGUCUUGUGUGCUUUUUUUUUUUUCUCCACAGCUGGUUUGAUCCAUGUAAUUCAUGCAGUGACCUUCAGUAUUAAGAGAAGAUGGGGGAAAAAAAGGCCCUGCAAACAGAUACAGCCAUUAUUUCCACGCUAUGCCAAGGUUGCUGUAAGAACAAUCCACUUCAGAAAGGAAAAUGGGGCGUAUGGUCAAGCCAGCUUUACAAAGACAGAAAGAGUUGGAGUGGAAAAAAAAGAGAGAAAGGGGGUCGUUGGUGGCCGUGUUCCUCCUCGGCCCCGUGCGCACCGGUGUGCAUUCAGAACAUUUGUAUGUAUAUAUACAGCUGGAGUGUGCAUGGCGGACGGGUGGAGAAGCGAGGAUGGGGGGUUGCUGGUGGCCAUGCAGGCGGACAGGUAGAUGAAGAAUGGCCCGUCGUCAGACGCUGAUUUCUGAGAUUGCUAAUGAUGCCCGGACAGCAAGACUGGAGCCGACACUAAUGAAAGGUGCAGCAACUCUGGAACCUCAAGGGGUUCGAUUUAAGAGAGAGAGAGUAAGAAUUAACACAGCACCACCAGAGCUGCAGGGAAAAAGGGCUGCAACCUCCCCCCCUCUGUAAUUUUUAAGACUCGUUCCAACCUUUCUUUUUUAAACACUCUCUCUUUUUUUUUUUUGGGUGGGAUUCGCAGAUGAUAUUCUUCAGGGGCACGUCUCAUCUCCACAAGAGCGGCUGGAGUGUGUUUCUAGACUUGGAUGCUUUACUAUAAUUGCAUUAAAGUCUGUCGUUGUUGAAACUCUCGCUCUCCCUCAGUGGAACACGCUCUUUUCUGCUGAGAUUCUUGACACGUUUGCUAACAUUAGAUUGGUGUUUCUUUUCUCUUCAGAUUUUUACAUGCAGGAUUGCAUUCGCACGCCUUUUUUGGGCUAAAUUGAGCAAUUACUUUCCACUUAUUACAAGUAGUUCAUAUUGCAGCCUUUGUGAUGUCUUUGUGACUGACUAGCUGAUAGAAAAGCUGUAACACCUUCAGUGUUCAGUAAGAAUAUGAAACACAUCCUGUUCGCAACACCUAGAACUCAAACGUUAAAUCCGUGUUUAUACAGUUGAAGUCAGAAUUAUUAGCCCCCCUGAAUUAUUAGCCCCUGUUUAUUUUUUUUCCUCGUAUUCUAGUUAACAGAGAGAGGAUUUUCUUUCUAAACAUAAUAGUUUUAAUAACUCAUCUCUAAUAACUGAUUUAUUUUAUCUUUGCCAUGAUGACAGUAAAUAAUAUUUGACUACGUAUUUUUCAAGACACUUCUAUACAGCUUAGGUGACUUUAAAGGCUUAACUAGGUUAAUUAGGUUAACUAGGCAGGUUAGA